CGAGUAAAUCAGGUGGUCGCGGGCGCCAUUAUGGCGCCUGAGGAAAGUCCGAGCUCCGCAGGGCAGGGUGCUGGGUAAUACCCAGUGGGGGCGACCCCAAGGAAAGUGCCAUAGAAAUGCAGACCGCCGUUUUGAGAGGUGAGAGGUGGGAGGUUGGAAGUGAGAUUAAGAAGCAAUUCGGCGAAGCCGAAUUGUAAUAAGUUCUCACGUCUUACUUCUUACAUCUCACUUCUCAAACGGCAAGGGUGGAACGGUGCGGUAAGAGCGCACCAGCGGCCGGGCGACCGGCCGGCUAGGUAAACCCCACCUGGAGCAAGACCAAAUAGGGGAACAUUUGCGGCGGCCCGUCGCGUUCCCGGGUUAGGUCGCUAGAGGCGGCUGGCGACAGACGUCCCAGAUAGAUGAUCACCCACGACAGAACUCGGCUUAUCGAUUUACUCGCCAC
rnacentral:RNase_P_RNA from 1 species